UACGUAGGGGGCAAGCGUUGUCCGGAAUCAUUGGGCGUAAAGCGCGUGUAGGCGGGUCGGUAAGUCGGGGGGUGAAAUCCUGGAGCUCAACUCCAGAACUGCCUUCGAUACUGGCGAUCUUGAGUCCGGAAGAGGUGAGUGGAACUCCUAGUGUAGAGGUGGAAUUCGUAGAUAUUAGGAAGAACACCAGUGGCGAAGGCGGCUCACUGGUCCGGUACUGACGCUGAGGUGCGAAAGCGUGGGGAGCAAACAGG
rnacentral:rRNA from 1 species